rnacentral:rRNA from 1 species
UACGGAGGGUGCAAGCGUUAUCCGGAUUCACUGGGUUUAAAGGGUGCGUAGGCGGAUUUGUAAGUCCGUGGUGAAAUCUCUAAGCUUAACUUGGAAAUUGCCGUGGAUACUAUAAGUCUUGAAUAUUGUGGAGGUUAGCGGAAUAUGUCAUGUAGCGGUGAAAUGCGUAGAUAUGACAUAGAACACCAAUUGCGAAGGCAGCUGGCUACACAACUAUUGACGCUGAGGCACGAAAGCGUGGGGAUCAAAC